GGCUUUGUGGUGUUCUCACACCGAAUUGCAAAUUCGGAGAAGAGAAGUUCUACCAGGGCUU
rnacentral:tRNA from 1 species